CCUACGGGUGGCAGCAGUGGGGAAUAUUGGGCAAUGGAGGAAACCCUGAUCCAGCAACGCCGCGUGAAUGAAGAAGGCCUUCGGAUUGUAAAGUUCUUUCCUCAGGGAAGAAGGUACUGACGGUACCUUACGAAUAAGCCUCGGCUAACUACGUGCCAGCAGCCGCGGUAAUACGUAGGAGGCGAGCGUUAUCCGGAUUGACUGGGCGUAAAGGGCGCGUAGGCGGUUUGGCAAGUUAGAAGAGAAAGUCCGGGGCUCAACCUGGGAACUGCUACGCAAACUGUUAGGCUUGAGUGCAGGAGAGGGAAGUAGAAGUCCGGGUGUAGCGGUGAAAUGCGUAGAGAUUAGGAGGAAGACCAGUGGCGAAGGCGGGUUACUGGACUGUAACUGACGCUGAGGCGCGAAAGCGUGGGGAGCAAACAGGAUUAGAUACCCUGGUAGUC
rnacentral:rRNA from 1 species